AGAGAGAGGGAAGAGGAUGAGUCCACAGCAAGGAACAGCAAUCUUAGUCAAAGCCCUAAGAUAUCCAUAAAUAUCAACUGAUGAGCUCGAUGGGUCUCCUCUUUUUUGUGUCUUUUCUUGUAUUUUAAACAGAAUAUAAUGAUAUUGCAAUUCACAGCAGUGGAGUAGGGUCAACUCCACAGGUCUCUGUGUAGAAAAACGAACUGAAAGCAGGUUCCCUUUACAUGAUGUGCUCAUAACAUGCAGCAUCAAGCACAUGCAGUAUAUACAUAUACAGAAACACGAGACCAGUCUGAUAUACAGAACACAAAAUGACAGGAUUUGAACAUAUCAUGUUGAAGACUGAAGUAUUAAAUAUACACUUUUAUCAAAUUUUAAGUGUUUAAAGAAAUGCAGUCAGAUAUUUGAAUUUACACAUAUUCAAAACAUUUAAAUUCCUAUAGAGUCCAAGGUGUGUAUUUCACUCAGAUUAAACUUUGAAAUUCUCAGGGGUGUUAAAUGUCGAAAGUCUUUAAGAUACAUUUAUAAGCAAACUAGUAAAAAUUCUGCUUUUCCUUUCACCUCUUCAUUUUAAAACUUUGGUAGCCUUUUGUCUUUCAGGUGCCCCAGAUUGGCUUGUGAGUUCUGUGCUAACAGCUGGUUGUAGUCAGCCCCUCUUGAAGCCUCUUUUAAGAGCUCAGCUUGUUUGCCUUGUACACUCUCGUACAGUGGGAGCCGUGGGAGCUCAGACGGCAAGGGCAUCCAGCUCCUGACCGGAAGGUCCUAGGCUCAGUCCCAGGUAGGGUCAAGCGAUGGAGCUUGCUCUGAUUCCUUCCAGACGGCUCCCAGGUCCACUCGGCCUGCUUUCCAAAUGAGUCCCGGGGGUAAUAGGCCAGCCAGAGUGUGAUGCUGGCCGCAUCUCCUCCACCUCCAGUGUCAGAUGGUUGAGAAAAAUGGUGGCCUUUGCCCCCAGCCAUUCCCCCAUGGGCCUUUACAGACUGAAAAGGGGACAUUACCUACCUACCUGCUGACAUACAGUACAGUGGUUUCUGUUUCCAGGCGAGCUCUUAAAGGGGUCUUUUAGGCAUGCUUUUUGCCAGCAGUUAUUCAUUUCACUGACAAUAGACAAUCAAGAGAAGGAAUUUGACGCUGUUGGAUUGAGAGGGUUUGUACCACAUGACAUGUUCUGCUAUGCUUGUUUUUCCUCCUUCAGCUGAAUCUUGGGAACUUUUUCCACUGUUCCACAUAUAUUGAUUUAUUAGGACUGCAGCUGUAGGGUAACAAUGUGCUUUGGGAAAAUCAAGUGAAACAAUAGAAGCAUCUGUAUAGUUUUCUGCCUGUUCUCCCAUUGUCUAGAGUGCUAAUUAACUUCUGUUUGUUCUGUUUGAAGCUUUCGGACUCAUUAUUUGCAAGGGAAGGAACAAUAAAUUCACAUCAGGGGUUCAUUUUUCUUUUUAACUGGUUAUACAACAGAGAGUAUUCAAUAACUGGAAGGAAGUCAGUCCCUAUCCAAGGCACAGCAGGGACAUUCAAAUUUAUAAUGACAUUUGCACAGCAAAUGUCUAAUGUAUAUCCAGUUAUGUUAUUCUCUCAAAUCAUCCACUCUUUAAAGGGGACUUUAGUAAGAUCACUUUUUAUAAAUUUGACACUCGGGUAUAGUUUUCAAAAUCCAAAUUGGAUUAAACUGACCCAUCCUGACCAAGAGGUAGCAGGUGUCUGGAACAAACAGCCCUCCCCCAUUGUCGCAAGAAAUUUCCUGGAAACUUUCAAGUUGACUGGCAUUCUUCGAUCAAAAUGCUGCUUAGAAAGUCAUCAAAGUUAGGUGGGUCAAAUUAAUCACAUUUGUGGCCUUUCUUAGUCUUUAUAUGUACAUAUGGGUACACAUCUGGGGACACCAUUUUAAACCAGCAGCAUGAUCACAGCCAUCUUCACAUGCUUAAACCCUUCUCUGUCCUCACACAGUAAUGACAGCAUUAACUUCUGCCUGGCUCCUGGCUCAAUAAUGUAUCCAAUCACAGAAACAACGCCUUGAGCAGCUCUGAGAUUGUGAGUGUAUGGCAGGUGAAAACAGCUGAAAAGCACUGAGGCAGAAAGAGUGCAGUGAAGCAAUAUUACUUCUGUCCAUAAUAAAUACAAAUCUUCACAGACAACUGUAAUCUCUUUGCUGUUCUAAUGAUUAUGAAAUGGUUUGACACAGCUUUUAUAACUUCUACCAUCAAUGUUAAAUCUAUAGGUGAAGGUCAGGUUGAUUAAACCAAUUUAAUAAUGUAUUUCUUUCAGGAGAGCUUGAAUUGCACACAAAAAAAAAUUACGAGAUUUAAAUGAGCACGAAGCAUUUUUUUGUUCGAGAUGAGCUCUUUUGCAAGGUGCUGUGGUCGACAUACGUUUUUCUGCUUCAGCUGGAAAAGAAGAACCAGUCCAUAGCAAAAAACAUAAUGACAAUGUUUCCAAGUGAGACGCUGACGUGACGGGGAUAUCUGAGGAGCACCUCCCAAGGAAACACGAGUUCUGUGGAGAGCUCAGGUCGGAAAAGCUCACAGUGACUCACACUGACUUCAAGGAAACACUAAAGGCAUCCUUCAAGAGAUUCCUACUGUACGGGGCAUCCGCUGAGCAGAUGAUGAUGAUGUAGACGUCGUGCUCGUCACUGCUUCUGCGGAACAGACAGCAAUGUGGAGAGCGCCGCUCACCCUCAACGCACUGCAAGGAGGAGGAGUACAGCGGUCAGCAGGGAGCUUGUGAUGAAGAGGCUGAAAUCCGACCUGCCUCAGGAUACAGAGCAGCCAACGCCCUCUCAGACACACACAGUUCUCGUGUUCCCCCUCUUCUCAGACACGCACACCCUCCAGCUGCAGACAGCAAGCACGCAGGAGCAUAUCCAGCAGGGUUACACAACACAGGCCCAGCUGCAGCCUUGCCUCAUGGCUUUGUUACAUCUCUUUAAGGACCAGUGCACAGACGGGGAGGUACACAGCAAGAGCCACAAAGCCAGCUACAGCAGUAAGGAGAGGAGCUCCCGGACCACAGGCAGGAAAAAUGAGCACCUCCGAAGACAGGAAGACGAGGUACCAUGGGGCACCCCUGACUGUUGUACGGUAUCCCAGAAUUCCAAAGUCACAUGUGAACUCUAAAUCAAGCUGUCAACUUUUCAGUGUUCUGUCACAGCCUGAACAACCUGAAUACAGGUAUUGAGUUCCUGGAAUAGCUGCUUAAGUCUGUGAAAUCUGCACUAGCUUCAGUUUUAAUUUCUUUAGACUAGGCUCCUACUUGUUCUUUUUCCUUUUUUUGAUUAUACUGAGCUGAGCUGUAAUUGUCAUUGUCAUUGUGCAGAGGACGCAGUGAAUUCAGUGCUGUUCUAUCUGUUAACUAGCUCUACCUUCAUCUGGAGGAUUAGACAGAUGUGGGGGGUGUAUGACAGAGUUGAAAAGAGAAAAGCUGAAAAAAUUACCCUGUAAUGCAAUGAAAGACUAGAUUUCCUUAAUUGCUCUUGGUAUUACAUUAUUAUCUGAAAGUGUAAGACAUGUAUGUAAAUUAGUGGAGAUGUACCGUACUCCUUUCCACUGAUCUUCAGGCACUUUAGGAUACUUUUAAAUAAUCCCAUUGAAUUUCACUUACUGUAUUUGCACUUGGAAAAACGGUGAAAGAAAAUCUUUUUUUUUUUAAAUGCGACAUCACUGGACAGUAUGUACUUUACACUACGCAUUUGCAAUUUUCAUAUUAUAAAAGUGAAAUAUAGCAACUUUUUCCUUAAACAUGAUCAAUGACUGAAUGUUUCUGUUGGACGGUGCUGAUACUUUGUCAGCACAGUAAGCAGCAGGCAGCCCUACAGUGUGAAAGUGUUCUAGCUGAAUCAGGACUGUCAUUACCUUCCCAGGGGUGCAUCCUCACACGCCUCCACUUAGCAUCCCAAAGCAAAACCUUGCAUUUUUACACAGAGAGCCUUGCAGAGCACAGUUGCCUUAAUAUUUGGAUUUGCAAAUAUUGGCAUUCACGGUCACAAAGUUACGUUGUUGUUGUUUUCAAUUUUGUGCUUUGCCUUUGUUCCACAUCAAAGAAUAGGGUGAACCGCAACACAUCAAAUGGGCUUCAGACAGAGACACACUGAAACAAGAAGAGAAUGAACAAGACACUGUGCAGGCUUGUACUGCAUUAGUGCCACUUUGCAAGACAAGAGAAUACCUGGGAACGACAAGAUUAACACAGGCAGCUCUGGCACAAAAUGUAUGGGGGAAAAAAAAGCAUUGAACAGAUUUUCAACUGCUGCCUGAGUCUGAAGGGCCGUGGAAUAGCUACAGGGAAACCCCUCACACAGAGCCAGAAGGCGGACACAGCCCAGCUCUGCGGGGAGAGCUCUGCUCUCCAUUUGUUUGAGGAAUCCUGACACGAGCACACUUGCCUGCCGUCGUAUUUUUGCUGCUCAUUAGUUUUGUUAAUGGACCUCGGCCCCCCGUCGUCUUUCUCCAGAUAGAAAAAGAUGGCGAUUAGACUGUCUAUUAAUCUACACAGCGUGCUGCACUAAGGCGCAACUCAGGGAGGGAGACCUGGCUGGCUAUGCCAAUAUUUUGUUUCCUUUCAGUC